GGGAGAACCUCAGCAGCUCUCAGCCAACCUGCCCUCCGGGCUUCCAGCCAGUUAACGGACGUGCGUUUCAGUCAGUCAGCCAUGGUUGUCAUGGUGAUCGACCCCGGGGGACUCAUCCCAAAACCCAAAGUUCUGCUUGUCUGAAAUAGAACCUCCGCCUCUCUCCAGGGGGCUCGGGGUACAUUUGGCACAUAGGGAGCCAGCGAGAGAAGCAGAGAGAGAGAGAGAGAAAAUGAGGCAGUGCAUCCAUUCCAACUGGGUCACAUCACGGGAGCAUUGCGUAAGCAUAAACACUGCUGUCCUGUGCUAUGCCCUCAGCGCACACACACACACACACACACACACACACACACACACACACACAAAGCGGAUCAAGCGUUCUGUGCGACAGUCUGUUGUGUUUCUCAGGUACCGUAGAGCACCAAGCUGUGGUCCAUAUCUACUCUCUUGUGCUCUCUCUCUCUCUCUCUCUCUCUCUCUCUCUCUCUCUCACAGCGGAUUAUAAGGAAAGAGCACCAUGACAGCAGUGAGUGAACCCUCGUCUUUGCCAGACGUGGACAGCAGCAUGACGUGGCUCUUUUUUUGCCUGCUCCAUACCCAAACACAUUUACAUGUUUCUGCAGACAUUAGUUUGUGUUCUCAAUGUACCCUGUUGUCAUCAGAACCUUAUGUUACUGGCUUAGAGGAAUUAAGGAUUUUAGCUAUUCAGACUCACAUAUGUUUUGUUUGCUCCAACAGGUCCUGAAUUACGCUUUAGAAGACGAUCCUCCUCAAUGUCUUAGUGCAUUUAUCCAACUUUGCAGUAUCGCUUUAUUUCCCAACAAUUUCCUCUCGGUGGUGGAGCAGCUGCACAGUGGCAGUGCUUCGAGCAUGAACAGGAAGGCUUCUUUUGUGGCCACAUCUCCCCACCGUGCACCCUCCCUGUGCAUGAUGGGUGUGUUGUUUACAGGCUCUCAGCAGUGCUCGUCUGUUUCCAACAUGCUCUGCUCCACACAUGUUUGGAUAUCUUCACACCUUUGUAAAUAAACACUAAUGCAAAUGCAGUUUAUAUUUCACGGAGUAGUUUGCGCAGUGCCGUGUGUGUGCGGCUGUACAGGGUGUCAUUGUCUAUAAAAGGAACAGCCA